GACGAACGCUGGCGGCGUGCUUAACACAUGCAAGUCGAACGCUGAAGCUCAGCUUUUGUUGGGUGGAUGAGUGGCGAACGGGUGAGUAACACGUGAGUAACCUGCCCCCUUCUUUGGGAUAACGCCCGGAAACGGGUGCUAAUACUGGAUAUUCACUGGUCUUCGCAUGGGGGUUGGUGGAAAGGGUUUUUCUGGUGGGGGAUGGGCUCGCGGCCUAUCAGCUUGUUGGUGGGGUGAUGGCCUACCAAGGCUUUGACGGGUAGCCGGCCUGAGAGGGUGACCGGUCACAUUGGGACUGAGAUACGGCCCAGACUCCUACGGGAGGCAGCAGUGGGGAAUAUUGCACAAUGGGCGCAAGCCUGAUGCAGCGAUGCCGCGUGAGGGAUGGAGGCCUUCGGGUUGUGAACCUCUUUCGCUCAUGGUCAAGCCGCAACAAUGGUUGUGGUGAGGGUAGUGGGUAAAGAAGCGCCGGCUAACUACGU
rnacentral:rRNA from 1 species